UUGUAGGCUGCAACUCGCCUACAUGAAGUCGGAGUUGCUAGUAAUCGCGGAUCAGAAUGCCGCGGUGAAUGCGUUCCCGGGUCUUGUACACACCGCCCGUCACACCAUGGAAGCUGGGGGCGCCCGAAGUUGGUCGGGAAAUAGAUUACCUAAGGCGAAACCAAUGACUGGGGUGAAGUCGUAACAAGGUACC
rnacentral:rRNA from 1 species